UCUCACAAAUAUUUAUCAUGAGAUCUGGGCUCGGCCCGAUGAUUCCCGUCCUCCAUAAUUCCGCUGACCUCUUGCAGAGAGUCGGCUGGAUUGGCCACGUGGAAACGCUUCGGCUUUCCAUUCUUGACGACCUGGGUUUGAAUCUCUGGUCCCACCCCUUGAAAAUAUUUACAUGGGGUCUGGGCCCGACCCAUCGAUGCCCAUCCUCCACAGCUGGCUGACUCCUCCACAGGGUAAGCAACCUGUGAAAGGGUUUGUUUUGCUCUACAUUUAAUACUUUGCAUGAGUGGAAAGUGGCGUCAUCUAUUGAAAUUUAAAUAAAAAAUCACUAAACGAAGUGAAACGAACUGGAAACCGCUACACAUAAACAAUUUUACUACAUAAAAAAACAGGAUGGAUCAAAAUGGAAAAAAAAUCAAUAUCAGGUUUUACUCAUUCCAGUUUUACCCAUCGGAUUCGACGCUUCGUUACCAAUACGGCAAUCACAUACAUGUACAACUGUUAAGAGUGUAUAAUAAUAGCGCUUUAGUGUUCAAUAUAUUGUAAAUGGUGUAAUUUAUUGACAUAAAAUGAUUGAUUGGCAAGCCUGGAAACAGCUUCUUUCUCUAUGUAGUUUGAUGUCGCUUUCACCAAUAUGUACUUUUUUUUGUCAACAGAUGACGCCACUUUCCACUCAGUAAGAGUACUAACAAGGAAGGUUAGAUAGCCCGGAA
rnacentral:lncRNA from 1 species